CGAGUAAACCGUAUGUCUUCAUAAUUUGAUUGUGCGCCGGUCCCACAGGUGCCUCCCAGCUCUAUUGAACACCGAUGGAGUUAUUUAGAAUCAUAAAUAAUAUUAUCAAAGAGGGUCUACUGGGUAAACAGAGUCAGUGCAUAAAUAGUCGGAGCGUGAUAUUGAUUGUUCUUAGCCGACUAAUGAAUUAUUCUGUGUAAGGGCCCACGGAAAUGAAGCCCAGCGCUGGCGAGGCGAGGGCCCUCCGAAGGGUUUCCCGGCAGAGCGGCUCGGCUCGGCGGUGCCGGCCACCGCGGCUGGGCGAGGGAUCACCAGGACCUCGUGCCGCGCGGCCGGGGCGAGCCCGCAGGGAUCUACUAGAGACGGCAGCUCGUCGCAGCCAUGAACUCAUCAAGAAAGCCGUGGGGCUGGAGGCAGCGACCUGAAGCAACUCAGUGCAGACGGGCCGGGGGGCACCGGAGAGCAGGAGGAGCGCGUGGGAGAGCCGGCACGGAAAGCGCGGGAAGCCAGUCCGGGCCAUCCAGGUGCAAACGCCCUGCUGCCAGGGCAGAGGCAUGCAGAGCCGAACCACACUGCUUUUCAAAUAAAAGCAGCUUGGCCCAUUGCAAAA